rnacentral:rRNA from 1 species
AUUGAACGCUGGCGGCAGGCUUAACACAUGCAAGUCGAGCGGAGAUGAGGUGCUUGCACCUUAUCUUAGCGGCGGACGGGUGAGUAAUGCUUAGGAAUCUGCCUAUUAGUGGGGGACAACAUUCCGAAAGGAAUGCUAAUACCGCAUACGCCCUACGGGGGAAAGCAGGGGAUCUUCGGACCUUGCGCUAAUAGAUGAGCCUAAGUCGGAUUAGCUAGUUGGUGGGGUAAAGGCCUACCAAGGCGACGAUCUGUAGCGGGUCUGAGAGGAUGAUCCGCCACACUGAGACUGAGACACGGCCCAGACUCCUACGGGAGGCAGCAGUGGGGAAUAUUGGACAAUGGGCGGAAGCCUGAUCCAGCCAUGCCGCGUGUGUGAAGAAGGCCUUUUGGUUGUAAAGCACUUUAAGCGAGGAGGAGGCUACCUGGAUUAAUACUCUAGGAUAGUGGACGUUACUCGCAGAAUAAGCACCGGCUAACUCUGUGCCAGCCGCCGCUGUAAAAC